rnacentral:rRNA from 1 species
AGUGAACGCUGGCGGUAGGCCUAACACAUGCAAGUCGAACGGCAGCACAGUAAGCGCUUGCUCUUACGGGUGGCGAGUGGCGGACGGGUGAGGAAUACAUCGGCAUCUACUUUUUCGUGGGGGAUAACGUAGGGAAACUUCCGCUAAUACCGCAUAUGACCUACGGGUGAAAUCAGGAGUUCUUCGCACCUUGCGCGAUUGAAUGAGCCGAUGUCGGAUUAGCUAGUUGGCGUGGUAAAGGCACACCAAGGCGACGAUGCGUAGCUGGUCUGAGAGGAUGAUCGGCCACACUGGAACUGAGACACGGUCCAGACUCCUACGGGAGGCAGCAGUGGGGAAUAUUGGACAAUGGGCGCAAGCCUGAUCCAGCCAUACCGCGUGGGUGAAGAAGGCCUUCGGAUUGUAAAGCCCUGUUGUUGGGAAAGAAAAGCAGCAGAUUAAUACCCCGCUGUUCUGACGGUACCCAAAGAAUAAGCACCGGCUAACUUCGUG